GAGACUAAAAUUUAAUUAAAGUUUUAGAGUGGGGCUAACCCACUUUAACCCUGACCCUAACCCACUUGAGAGGGGGCUUUGGGGGUUGGGGCUUUUUUCUGGCCCCCUACUUAAGGGGCUUCUUAAAAUAGGGCUUUUUCAAUAGUGGGUUAGGGCUGGCCUUGGAGCCAUGGGUUAAAUUGACACCUCUAAUAGUAAGAUUAUGCAAAGUGUCGUAUAAAAGUCGAAAUCUUAAGCCAACAAAAAGACAUACUACAUUUGAGAAAAACACUACAUUAUUAGCAUUAUGUCUCUGUCAUGAAAUAGGCACAAAAUAUGAUUUUAACAUUGAAUUAGUAAGAAUUGCAUAAAAUAAGAAUGAUGAUAGAAAAGAAAACACAAAAACACAGGCUAAUCACAUCAUCUAAUUGAAAGAGGGUACAUAACAAGUCCAAUGAUUUAAUAGUGAAUUACUUGGACACUAUUGAUUGAUAGGCAUCUCACGAGCAGAACCAAACAACCAACAGUUGUUACAAGUUACAACCUACAAAAGAAAGACUGAUUGAAGCAAACAGUUCAGUAUUGGUAUUCUACAUAAUGGAAUUUGACAAGAAAAAGACUCUGAAAGAUCACUGGUUUUUUCCCUCCAUCAUCCAGAAAUGAAAGAAUCACCUAGAAGGGGACUUGGACUGUGAUCAUUCACAAAAUUUUCAACUUUCUAAGCUGAUUUUCAAAUCAAACACAACUUGGUGUUCAUAGUGCUAAAGCUAUAGAUUCGCUUGAAGGAAUUUCGUAACUGUAUAAUUUCACAAAUAAACCUUCUUAAAAACCUUGUAGAAGA
rnacentral:lncRNA from 1 species